GAUCAGGGCAUGUUUAGAAGAACUCGGAUCAAAGCCAUUCUUUUUGAAAACAAACGAAUCAAAAGAUUUUCUAGCACAAAAAACAGUUUCUUUCAAAUCAAGCUCAAGAGAUUUUUCAAAACGAUCAAAGCCUUUGCUAUGCUUUAAGAACUGAUCAAAACUCAAGAUUAUUCCAGAAUUGAUGCCGUUUUCUUUUUGAAAACGUGGUUGAUCAAGAAGUUCAUCAGGUUCAAAGAUUUUAAAAGAAUUAAUUAUUCUUUCAAAAACAGAUUUUGAAACACAAAAAUCUUUCACAUUUUCAAGACCAAAACGAAUCACAUCAAGAGAGCUGAUCUUAACAAACAUAUCAGGCUGAGAAUUAAGCAAAUUAGAUUGCUCACAGUGCGCUUGAAGUUAAAAAGACAAAGGGGCAGGAGUUGUGCCGGGAUCAAAGCAAAGAUGGCUCUCCAUAGCGAUGGAUGUGAU
rnacentral:lncRNA from 1 species